CAUUGAUUCAGAGAGGGUGAAUAGACAGUGCUUCCCAUAGCACCUUCUUCAGAAGGUGAUGGAACUGUGUAGGUUCAGAGCUGUUGGGUUAAACAAAGUUAACUACUUCCUAGGCUUUUGAAAAUAGCUCAUGUGCAUAAUGAACAUACACAAAUAGUGAAAGUUCAAGAAGUAAAGAGAAGCAUGAAAUGAAAAGACUUUUCCCCUAUCUUUGGUUUAUUACCACCACCACCACCCAGCCCCAUUCUUUAGCGGUUUGGGAACUGGUUUCUCACACUUUGGUCCCCAGCUGUUGCACACAUCUAAGUAUUUUGGCUCAUCACGAUAGAGCAGCCACAGGCAAGUGCCCGACAUGAGCGGCAGCGUGCUUCACACAUGCCUGCACCUUGCUCCAUGCAGAUCUUGGGAAAAUACCAGUUAUUUAGGUUAGUGGUUCUCAGCUGGGGGUGAGUAGAGACAUUUUUGGUUGUUUUAAUGGAGCGUGGUAGUGAGGGUGUUACUGGCAGAUGGUGCCUAGGAUUCAGAGAUGCUGCUGAAAUCCUAUGUCGUGCAGGCAGCUUCCAAAAGGAGUGUCUAACCUGACUUGUCAGAUAUUUAGCAGCCUUUAAACAGAUAGGGAGACCCUUACCUUGGUCAGCAGUAACAUUGAUGGAACUUACAUUUGCUGGCCACUAUCAUCACCAAAUGUGUUCGUCGGGAUUCCUUUCCUUCUACGUGAAUGAAACCAGAGCAGCUCAAACCAUGGCUGAAAAUGAACAAAAACCGUAUUAAAUCUGGGAACGUCUUUGGUCUGAGCCACUUGCCAUAGUCCCGGGCUCAGAAGUGCUAGAGAAGAGCUGUCUCAUCACCUACUCCUGAGUCACAGUGAUGCUAUGACCUGUAACCAUGAGGGAUGCCAGAGACUCCUCACUGCUUCCAGACUUGUGACUAGAUCUAUGUAAGGAGGCAUCGGGCACAGUUGCUGGACUCCCGGUGAAAGGGACCCUUCCUGGUGCUGCCUAACCUCUCCCACAGCCCUCAAGGUGGACUGUAUUGUGGCCUGGGUUCACACUUCCCAUGUGAAACCUGCAGAUGCCCCACUCCCCAGACACCCCUGCUGGACAGUACAGAAGAUGGACAAUCUGCUCAAGCUCAAGAUCACUCGACCUUGAUCAUGACCGCCUGGUGGGUAUCAUUCUUCAGUGAAUAUGGACCCUUAAAAAGGUUUCAUAUCCUCAUCUUUGAGAUGGAAAUUCUGGAACCCACUUUUGGAAAUUUCUUGUGAGGCAAAAUAAGAGACUGACU